rfam:Arabis alpina cultivar Pajares Aa.chr4_contig_1991, whole genome shotgun sequence.
CUGCUAUGAUGAACAAAACUUGUGUCCUGAGAUGAUUCUUCAUCGCUGACGGUAUAACACAAUCCUCUAAGAAGUUCUGAGCUU